rnacentral:rRNA from 1 species
GACGAACGCUGGCGGCGUGCUUAACACAUGCAAGUCGAACGGAAAGGCCCUGCUUUUGCGGGGUGCUCGAGUGGCGAACGGGUGAGUAACACGUGAGUAACCUGCCCUUGACUUUGGGAUAACUUCAGGAAACUGGGGCUAAUACCGGAUAUGAGCUCCUGCUGCAUGGUGGGGGUUGGAAAGUUUCGGCGGUUGGGGAUGGACUCGCGGCUUAUCAGCUUGUUGGUGGGGUAGUGGCUUAACAAGGCUUUGACGGGUAGCCGGCCUGAGAGGGUGACCGGCCACAUUGGGACUGAGAUACGGCCCAGACUCCUACGGGAGGCAGCGGUGGGGAAUAUGGCACAAUGGGCGGAAGCCUGAUACAGCAACGCCGCGUGCGGGAUGACGGCCUUCGGGUUGGAAACCGCUUUCGCCUGUGACGAAGCGUGAGUGACGGUAAUGGGUAAAGAAGCACCGGCUAACUACGUG